rnacentral:lncRNA from 1 species
GGAAGGGAAACUAUUUAAGUAAUUUUUCACAGAAACCCAGAAACAAUGGACAUCUCACUGGAUCACUGGCUCCACUGGAGGCUGGGAUGUUAAGCAGAAACAAUACAUUCAUAUAAUUCCUGAAUGAAGACAGUAAGGAAAGACAGAAGACAAGUUUUUGCUGAAUGAGAAGUAGGUGGGUUUCGAACACAGGCUGCAGAUGUUCAUGUACACAGGAAAUCAGUCUCUCAGGGCAUCAAUCUCUACCAUAUGACCCUGGCAUUUGAUGCAUCAACAAACCCACCCACAGAAACAGUCUGUUUGGUUCUAAACCCAGUGAGUGGUUAGAUCCAAUAUGAAGGACAGCUUGGAUGUAAGCGAGCUACAAACCCUGUCAGACUGAGCCCCAGAAGCAUGUCUGCAUGUCAUUCACUUCCUAACUGUAAUUGGUAGGACACACCAUUAAAAUAGCAUUUGUCAACAUAACAGGACAUUAACGCCACAUAAACGGUAUUUGUCAGCAGCAUCCACGGUUCGGUUCAUGAAGGCCGUUAGCGUGUGUUCUUCUUCUAGUGACAGAUGGCCAUUUAAGGCUUUCCGAGCUACCGUAAACCGUGUCUCCUCUGCCUGUACAGUCGGCAAGACCCACGUGGAUCAACACCGCGCCACCGGUCUCUGUCCUCUAGCGCCCCCUCUCACCUGGUUUUAGAACUGCAUAUAGAUGACAGGGUUGAUGACGCUGCUGGUCUUGGCCCGGGCGCAGGGCACCGCGGCAGCCACAUGGGGAGACCAGGCCGGACUGCCCACCAGGGCACCGCGCCGGCCACAUGGGGAGACCAGGCCGGACUGGCCACCAGGGCACCGCGCCGGCCACAUGGGGAGACCAGGCCGGACUGGCCACCAGGGCACCGCGCCGGCCACAUGGGGAGACCAGGCCGGACUGGCCACCAGGGCACCGUGCCGGCCACAUGGGGAGACCAGGCCGGACUGUUAUUGGCUAACAUAACGCUAGGAUCGCCUCAGUUCAAGGCCAAAGGAAGAAGACUGUUUUACCCUCCUGAUUCUUAG